UGUGACGCGGGCGGGCAGGAAAAAGUCAAUGCAGCCUGGCAUAAAUAAAUAAAAUAGAUAAAUGGCUUCUACUCCCGGGAGUUUUAGAUUCACAAGCCUUCUCUGGCAAAGAGGUCACGAACUACAACUCCCAGGGUUCCACAGCAGGGAGCCAUGGCAGUUAAACCGACUGAAAGUGCAUUAAUUCUACAGUGUAGAUGCAGGUUUCGACUUCAGAGGAGCAGGUUUGCAAGGAAGCCAAGCUUUCGGUGCCAGAAACUUAAUCCAGUCAGCAACUCCCAGGAUCCCAUAGCAGUUUAAAGUGGUAUCAAACUGCAUUAAUCCUACAGGGUGGACGCAGAGACUCCCCCCCCCAAAAAAAAACUUGCUUCCAGGGAGACUGCUGGCUUCCCCAUCCGCCAAGGAGAGUCGCCCCUGUUUCCGCGGACGCGAGUGGAUGGUCGGUCGGUCGUCCAGAGGCGGAGCCUGGCCACGGGAUCCUCCAGUAAUCGCAUCAGCGCCUUGGCUCCAUUCACGAGUUUCCUUCCACUCAUCUCCUCCGCGGGGAGGGCGGCUAGGGGGUGCGUCUGCACUGUGGGAUUGAUGCAGUUUCAUAGAAUCACAGAGUUGGAAGAGACCUCGUGGGCCAUCCAGUCCAACCCCAUUCUGCCAAGAAGCAGGAAAAUCGCAUUCAAAGCACCCCCAGCAGAUGGCCAUCCAGCCUCUGCUUAAAAGUCUACAAAGAAGGAGCCUCCACCACACUCCACUGCUGAACAGCUCUCACAGUCAGGAAAUUCUUCCUAAUGUUCAGGUGGAAUCUCCUUUUCAUUCUUCUGUUACUUUAAAAAUAUAAUUAUGGCAUUCAUAGAUGAUGACACAUUUUAGUAACUCAGCAAGAGUAUGAAGAAAGUGAAGGGAUGAUACAGCAACCUAAAACACAAUUUACUUUGUUCUAAAAAAAAAAUGAGCGCAACGAGUUAAACCACUAAGCUGCUGAACUUGCAGACUAAAAGGUCGCAGUUUGAAUCCGGGGAGCAGGGUGAGCUCCCGCUGUUAAGCCCAGCUUCUGCCAACCUAGCAGUUUGAAAACAUGCAAAUGUGAAUAGACCAAUAGGUACUGCGCCGGUGGGAAAGUAAUGGCGCUCCAUGUAGUCAUGAUGGCCAUAUGACCUUGGAGGUGUCUAUGGACAACGCCGGCUCUUCGGCUUAGAAAUGGAGAUGAGCACCAACCCCCAGAGUCGGACACAACUAAACUUAAUGUCAGGGAAAAACCUUUACCUAAACCUUUCCUUAAAAAUGAUUUUUUGGAUUGAAAAACAGCUGGCGUACAUCAAAUGCAAGGCUCUGAGGAAAGAAAUUAUGUUCAUGUCAUUACAGCUUUGGAGAGCACGUGGCUUCCCAGAAAUGUUAUACUGCGACUUCCAUGAUCCCUUGUCACUGGCUACAAUGGAUAAUGAGGGCAGGUCAGAGUUGCAGUCCAGGAAUAUCUGGAUGGCCACACAUUUAGAACCAGAGCUGAAGUGAAUAAUUUUAAGGUUCAAAAGAUGACCUCAUAUGCCUGCUGUUGCCUGACCCAUUUCAUCUUCUGCUGAAAGAAGUCUCAAUAUAAGUUCAUGUUCUUAAAAUUAUAUAAGUUGUCGCUCAUUCCAGUGUGUUUCUGUUGAGAAUGUCAACAAUUCAUCAGUGGAAUGCAUGGUUUGCAUGCAAAGAUAUCCAGUUUAAUCCCUAGCAUUUCCAAUCAUGCCGGCCACAUGACCUUGGAGGUGUCUAUGGACAACGCUGGCUCUUCAGCUUAGAAAUGGAGAUGAGCACCAACCCCCAGAGUCCGACACGACUGGACUUAACAUCAGGGGAAACCUUUACCUUUACCUUAUAAUUUUGCUAUAAAGGAAAGCCUCCUAAGGAAGAGAUAACAUUGGUCUGUGUGUUUUUGUUCUUUUUAUCACAUUUGGCUACUGUUGCUGGGUCACUCUACUGCUAAUAAGUUACUCUGCUAUACGUUUAUGGGGAGGGUCUUUUGUUAAUAAGCUCACUCGCCCAACACAUGAGUCAUUUGUAAGUCAGAUGUUUGUAAAUCAGGGACUGUCUGUAUUUGAAAAAUUCACACCAGAUCAGAGCAAAAGCUUAUCUAGUCUAGCAUUCUGUCCACAUAGUGGCCAAACAAUUAUUUACAGGAAGUCUGCCAGCAGGACAUGAUUUCAACAGCAGGGAUGAGCAAAGGUAUUGUGCAUCUCAAACCCAAAGUUAGUACAUAGCCUUUGGUCAUAAUUACUCAUAGCCUUGAAUUCCACUAUUUUAUCUAAUCUCCAUUUUAAACCAGAUAAACCAUAAUGGCAUUUUAUGGUAGAAUAUGACUAUGAACAUACAUGUAUUGAAAUAAUACAGCCGACUUUCCACAUUUGCAGUUUUGACUCUUCUGGAUUUUAUUGUUUGUGGAUUGAUUAAAAUAUUCUCUUCGAGGACCUCCAGUGCAAGAAUAUGGUCAGUUUUUGCUGGAAGUUGGGUGAAGAGUCAUGUUUGAGGGCCUAGAUUCCUAGGGAAAUGCUAUCUCAGGUAAAAAACCAAUAGCAAUUUUAAAUUUGCGGUUUUUCACUUUCCCAGGGAAUCUGUGCACCUGACCCCAGCAAAUGUGGAGGGCUGAUUUUACAUCCUUUCUUCCCUCCUGAAUUUACUCUUUAGCUUCAAUGAAUGCUUGCAGAUUCUGUUGUAAGCCAUCGAAGUUGGCACGGAUGUUACUAAAAUGAUACAUUCUUUCUGAGUUUUAAGGCAUGAACAUAUUUUGGAAAUAAGAUUCAGCAUCUUGGAACAUUACUAAGAAGUUCAGACCGAAGGCAGAUUCACUGUUCCACUAAUGCCAAAGCCACUCAUUUAUAGGAGAUCAAUUUUCUUCACAAAAUGCAUAACUGUAUUUGUGUCUCUUCUCACUCACAUUUUUAUUAAGCUAGGCCACCCCAAAUGUAUGUCUUUCCUGCUGAGGGAGUUGCUCCAGUUCAUUGGUUCCCAGCCUUUUGACCAGGGACCACUCUCCAACAUUAGUACCAAAGGGGUAAUGAAACAGUUUUCGGUCUACUUUAGAUUUGGUUUGGUUAUUUGGGGUGCUGAUUCAGAAAAUUGCUUUGGAUAGACCACAUCGGCUCUAGUUUCUGAUACAGAACAUAGGCCAUCCAGUAGUCGCCAUCAGCUUGCCCGCAGAAAACCAUACCUGCAUGUCUCAUGGACCUUUUUUUAGGGUCUCGAGGCCUACCAGUGGGCCAUGGCCCUUGAUAUUGGGAGACACAUUUUCUAUGCCUUUUGCAGUCAUGUAAUUUUUUUUCAGGUGCAAUAUCUGAAACUACACAGUAUCCUAAGCGUGAGCACAUCACAUAUUGGGCAGUAUGAUACUGACAGUCUGGUAUUGAUUCCAGUUCUAAUUAUAUACGAACAUUGCACUUUUGUUAUCUUAAGAGCAGCCAACCACACAUUGGUGGGACACUUGUUCUACUAACUGUCAGCUGAUAUUGAAUUAUGUUCUAAGUUUCUAUGAAGACCAAAUCCUGCACUUUUAAAAAAUAGUCUUGUAUUUUUUUUUGUGGUGCCGGUUUCUCUUCCUCCUGUCUUAUCCCAGUUUGUAGAAUAUUUUUAUUGUAUAACCCUUUUGAAUUUGUUCAAAUCUGUCUUUCUAGGCUGUUCAUUUUGAGUGCUACUUCAGUGGGAAAAUGGAACUGAAAUCUAAAUAACAAUGAUAGUUUUCCUUGUGCUUCAGUGAUAGUGAUUUUUAUCACUAAGUGUACAUUUUGCUUCAAUAACAAAGAAAAUCGCUAGUUGAGGUUUGGACUCUUAGUCCUCAUUUCAGGCUUAUACUUAAAAGAAAUAGGGGGUGUGUGUGCUCUUAAUUUUCAUUUCAACUUUAUGCUUUUUUAAAAGUGUGUCUGAUAGAGCCUGCUUUUACUGUAAUUCAGCUCGUUAUUAAAGAUAGAAGCUCUAGUCCAUUUGCUCAAUUUGAUGUUAUUUCAAUUCUCUUUGAUUUGCUGUACUUUGAGAUAAAAUGAUGUGAUCUGAAUGAAGCCCUGAAUCAGCAUCUCCAGCUUUUCUCCUUUAAAACCAUUUAGAAUGGUAUUCUAUUUACCAAAAGCUUGCCAUGGUGUUUUCAAUUAGACUAUUCAAACUGAAUGACAUCUGAUUUUAUGGGAUAUCUGAGAGAGUAGAAAGAAAGAAGAAGAAAAAUAUGGACUAGAGAAAAACGUAUGAUGUUUUAAAUUACAUAAGGCCAGGAUUAGUCAAAAAUUGUAAAGUUCUUUCAUGUUAUUCAGGCAUCAAUCCUCAAGACAGUUUCUCUGGGAGUAGCUAAAAGGGCUACAAAGCCCUUAAAGUCACCUCAGACAGGAUGUCGUGGCCACCAUGUCAUUGCAAUCCAGAGUCUGUUGCUAUCAACUGUCACAGCGACUCAUAUCAGUAGAAUCAGGGUCCUAUAAACCGGAACAGCUUGCAAAAAAAAAUUUGCUAUGUUUUAAAAGCUUUCUCUUAUCUUUCUUGCAAACUACAACCUUACUUAGGGUGCAUUCAUACAGUAGACUUCAAGCAGUCUGACACCAGUUUAACUGCUAUGGCUUAAUGCUCUGGAUGCUCUGCUAUUGUCUAUUCUUCUAUACAGACUGCACUUAAAUUUAUGGGAACCAUGCAAAUGAAGUGUAGUUCUCACAUGCUUUCAUUAACAGUAUCUGCUGGAGUUUGGUUCCAAUACCUCCCAUUGAUUAAAAAAAUCUAUGGGUGCUCAAGUCACAUUAUAUACAUAUACAAUCACAUAAUAAAAUUGUGUCCCAUAUACCCAUAUACGAAAAAGUAAAAUCAAGAUUCGCCUUUUGGAUUUUUAAAAAUUCAAGUUGUGGAUGGUUGAAUACAUGGAUGCAGACUCUGUGGAUAUGGAAAACUAACAAUAUGUCUAGCUCUCAAGUUAGAACCAGACUUGGGGAAAAUUAACUUUUUGAACUACAAGUUGAAUUCUGCCUGGGAGAUCCUGGGAGUUGUAGUCAAAAUGGUAUUUUACAAGUUUUUCCUUAGAAUUUAGGGCUAGUUCAGCAUCUAUGGUAAAUACCUGAAGCCCAACCUGGAAUCAUGUGAAUGUGUACACUAAACAUCACCCCAUUUGCAGAGAUGUAGCCAACAUAUAUGGAGGGCUUCAGGUUAGUUGGUCAAGGAAUAAUGUUCUUUUUUUGAUAUUUGCCUUCACUUUUCACUUUCCCAAUUUUGAGAUCUCAAUUUAUCUUUAUAGCAAGCGCUUUUCUCUCUUCAAAUACGUAUCCAAAAUGUGAACAAAAUCCAGUAUUUAUCAAAAUCAAUCAAGUGUACUGGCUUGCAGAACCCCUCUGGCAAUUAAAGUCAUUCACAAAGAUGUCUUGGGUUUAACUUUAAUGCCUGGUUACUUACAAGAAAGGAAGAAAGUUACAAAUAAAAUAUGUGGGGAAAAACUCUGAUUUUACUACCUCCUGGAAUCUCAAUCCCUUCAGUUCAUGAGAGUUCAUUUUGCCACCCUCAAAGUUGGUUUGAACCGGUUCUCAUUAUCAGUCUCUUCUCAGGCCAGACCUCAAUUAUUAGCGCAUUCCCACACUGGGAAUCGGAUGUUUACUUUCUUUUCUCUGGCCCCAGUCAUGGCAUGGAGACGUCUGGAGUUCCAUUAAACAUUAGGCUGAUCCAUGACAUCAAGAGCAAAAGAAACAAGAAAGCAGGGCAGACAAAAUGGGAAAUAUUUUCAAAUUAGUAAUUCGUAUUUUUCCCCAAAACUUAAUUUUUACAAUAAAAAGCUAGGUCCUUUUUAUUUAUUAUUUUUCAGUAGUCAACUCAAAGGUGAAGCACUGAUGUUCCUCACUUUACUUAAUUGCAAAAAGGGAGAACAUUGUGAUACAAUUCUAGCCUAACAAUAAAUAACAAUAAACUUCAUUUGUAACCCGCCCUAUCUCCCCGAGGAGACUCAGGGCAGUUUCCAAAACAGAAGUGGUUAACUGUCAGGACCCAGACUGCAGAGCACCAAUAACCUUACACAGAGGCCAGUCUCUAUCUAAUAUCUUUAUUAAAGAAAUAUAUAAAAUCAAUAAAAACAAGUGAAGAAUAUAGUUCAGAAGCAGACCUUUCAGAUGAGGUCAAAUAUAGUCCAGAAAUGUAUUGUCCAAUAUAAGAUAUUAGAGUUCAAAGUUUUAAUCCACUUGACCGAAACACACACUUUGCCAAGCAAUAGUGUGGGGAAAUAACAGAGUCUUUAAAGUCCAAUGAAGCUUGACAACAAGGCUGGAAAUAAACUUGAUUCUUGGCUAGAUCCGUGACUGAAGACGAGGCUAACAUGAAGCAUGAAACAGAGUCCGUGGUAAAACCGUGAAACAGGGCAAGGCUUGAAGCUUGAUCCGGGAAGCAAGGAACUGGGAUUACGAAGUCCACACACGAUCUCUCUCCUCAAGCUGAUCAAUUGACUCCGCAAAGAAAUCCUCGCGCCAACCACCUAUAUUGGGUCUCGUUUUCCCGCCAACAGAACUCUUUCCCUAGAGAACGGGAAGCGAAACCCAACUCUGUCCAGAUGUGUGACUCCUUAGAAUUUCCCAAGGGAAGCAGACCUAAUCAGCUUGAUGUUUGGCAGCUAAGCGUAAACUCCUCCGUUGGGCCUCUCUGACUCCCCUUUCUCUGGAAUAAGAUUCUUUUCUGGGAAACGGUGUGGAGUUCUGCCCAAGGUCUGUUUGGCUGAAUUCUUGAGGGCAAACAUCAACAUCCUGCAGGUGAAGAGACUCCGGCUCUUGCUGAACCGGCAAAAACCCCAUGUUUUCCUCUUCGUCUGUCACAAUAGUACUAAGAACAGGACUACAAGGCGCAUGAGUCCUCACAUUAACAUUCAAUGCCAUAAUGAACAAACUAAACAAAUCAAACAAAUAGCAUCAAUAUAAACUUAUAAACUUAAAUGACUAACCAAAGAAUAAUUAAUACAAAUAAACCUCAACAUACACAUUUACUUCAUAAUAAAAGCUAAAUAGUUAACAUACAAUAAAAGUAUAAAAUGAGGAUGAGUGAUGUUGUAUAAACUCAUGUGAUGAUUAUGUAGAACAACCAAACAGCGCCGGAGUGGAUUUCCAGUGUCCAAACAAGGUUAUGUAUUAAGAUGUUCUAAUCCUUCUUUUCUCCAUAAGCUAAGGUGCAAAGAUUGGUUUUAAAGAGUUUUUUUAAAGGAGAGGAGAGAGGGGGUCAUUUCUACUUCUUUGGGGAGGGAGUUUCAAAAGCGGAGGGCAGUCAUGGAGAAGGCCCCCUCCCUCAUCCCCACCAACCACACUUGAGACGGGGGUGGGAUCAAGAGCAGGUCCUCCUCCGCUGACCGCGUUAGUUUAUGUGCGGAGAUGUGGUUAGUUAAAUAGCUUGAACCAGAACUGUUUAAGGCUUUAUAGGAAAUCACCAGCACUUUGUAUUUAGCCCAGAAGAAGACCGGCAGCCAGUGGAGCUGCCACAACAGAGGAGUGGUUCUUUCCCUAUACAAUGCUCCAGUUAGUAGCUUGGCUACCGAUCUCUGAACUAGUUGAAGCUCCCACACUCUCCUCCUUUCGAAGGGACUUGAAAACCUGGAUGUUCCAACAAAUUUUCGAGAAUGAUUAACCUAGGCCCAGUCCCUAGUUAAUCCAGAUAGCAUUCUGCCCUGCACGUUAUCCACUAUCCCAGGCCCUGUGAUAUGUUGUUGUACUAUCCCUGGCCCAGACCAUUGGCCACGUAAUUGGCCACGUUCAUCCUGUAAUCCUGGCUAUUGACUUGUUGAACCUUUUACUGAUGGAGCUACAAGGAGAUGGGUUUUUAAAAUACUGUAUAUACUCGAGUAUAAGCCUAGUUUUUCAGCCCUUUUUUUAAGACUGAAAAAUUCCCCCUCGGCUUAUACUCGGGUGAGGGUCCUGGUUGGCUUAUAUUUGGGUCAGCUUAUACUCGAGAAUAUAUGGUACAUUUAUUAUUUUCCCCUAUUAUUAUCGGUAUUAUUACAUUUAUUAUUUUUCUCUAUUAUUGUUGCUACUAUUACAUUUAUUUUACUCUAUUUUUUAUUAUUAAUACAUUUAUUAUUUCACUCUGAUCUUAUUAUUAUUACAUUUAUUAUUUUACUCUAUUUAUUAUUACAUGUAUUAUUUUCCUGUAUUUGUUGUUGUUAUUAUUAUUAUUAUUAUUAUAUGUAUUAUUUUACUCUAUUUAUUAUUACAUGUAUCAUUUUCCUGUAUUUAUUAUUAUUAUUAUUACAUGUAUUAUUUUACUCUAUUAUUAAAAUGAUACAUAAGGGCAUUUACAUUGAAGAAGAUGAGAAUAAUGAUUUAAUCAGAAUUGGACAGUCUUAUCUUAAAUUUGAGCUUUAUGCAAAUAUUCAAAAACAUUUAACCCACUGAUGCCUCAAUUAAUGUAAUUUUAUUGGUAUCUAUUUUAUUUCUGAAAUUUACCACUCUCGGCUUAUACUUGAGUCAACGUUUUCCCAGUUUUUUUGUGGUAAAAUUAGGUGCCUCGGCUUAUAUUUGGGUCGGCUUAUACUCGAGUAUAUAUACGGUACUUUAUUUUUACUUUUAGUGUGUUUUAACAAGGUAAUUACAUUGUGUUAUAUUGUUGAAUGUGUCCAUUUUGUUUAUUGUCUGUAUGGUUUCUUUCUGGCAAUUGAAUGUUUGUCUUACAUGUUGGAAACUGCCCUAGGUGGUAUACAAAUAAAGUUUAUUAUUUUAUUAUUGAAGCUUUCGAAUAACCUUCAAAUGCAACCCCACAUAGAGAGUAUUGCAGUAGUCAAAACAAGAUGUAACUAAGGUGUGGACUACCACGGCCAGAUCUGAUGUCUCAAGGAAUGGGCGCAGCUGAUGCACAAGUUUUAACUGUGUGAAGGCUCUCCUGGCGACUGGCGACAUCUGAGGCUCCAGGGUCAGCAAUGAGUCCAGGAUCACCCCCAAGCUGUGAACCUGCAUCUUCGGGGGAGUGUAACCCCAUCCAACACAGGCUGUAACGCUAUACCCUGAUCUGCCUUCCGACUGACCUGGAGUACCUCUGUCUUGUCUGGAUUUAAUUUCAACUUGUUAGCCCUCAUGAUAGCAGCAGGUUCAGAUUAUACUCUCCAAAAUGUUAGAACAUUGCAAUAUCUGAUCCAGGAACAUUAAAACCCAGCUGCUGAAAUAGCUCAGAAUCUUCCUUUUUGACGAUGGGCUCCUGAGAUAGGUGUAAAGAGGCCAUUAUAAGACAGCUCAUUGUUUUAUUGUGGGGUAUUGCUGGCUGCUGUUGCCUCUGCAUCCACUUGUUCCUUGCAAGUUCUUUUCUGUUCUUUUUCUAAAGGGAAGGCAGGGAAACGGAGCCUCUGUUGCAGUAUGCCGAGAACGGAGCCUAAUUAUUUCAGUGAACAGUACCAGUAUUUCAGAGGAAAGGAAGGGAAAACUUGAAUCAUUUUAUAUUUUAAAGUGACAGCAUACAUGAGAUUUUUAUUUUAAAAAAUCCCUAGGUGGGAAUAAAAAGAGUUAAUUAAGGAUUCCAAGCCCCCAGUUACUCCAAAGGGCACUCUUGGCCUUUAUAGGUUUAUAUGGGUUUGUCACAUGCUAUAAUAAUUAAGCAACCUGUAUAUUUCUAAUGGGAGCCCCUGGUGGCGCGGUGGAUUAAACUGCUGAGCUGCUGAACUUGCUGACCGAAAGAUCAGCGGUUCGGAUAUGGGGAGCGGGGUGAGCUCCUGCUGUUAGCCCUAGCUUCUACCAACCUAGCAGUUCGAAAACAUGCAAAUGUGAGUAAAUCAAUAGGUACUUCUCUGGCGGGAAGGCAAUGGCGCUCCAUGUAGUCAUGCUGGCCAUAUGACCUUGGAGGUGUCUACGGACAGCGCUGGCUCUUCAGCUUAGAAAUGGCGAUGAGCACCAAACUCCAGAAUCUGACACGACUAGACUUAAUGUCAGGGGAAAAUCUUUUCCUUUACCUAUAUUCCUAAUGUGAAUCAGAAAGAAAACUACCUUGUACUAAUGAUUUGUGUGCCAUCUUAAUUUAGGGAAGGAGGUGUAUACCUUGGAUUUUCUUUAGGCAUCUAUGUUUAACCAAACCAACUUUUUAAAAUUAGAUAGUCUGAGUGAUCUCCAGGGAGAUAGCGUGGAAUAUAAAUAAAGUUAUAUUAUUAUUUCAUUAUUUGAAGUCUAUUGUUUACCUAUCCUGACUCCCUUGCGAUGUAAACUAAUGCUCUUAGAGAUGUUUCUCCGCCUCUUGUUCUUCCACCAAGUUCUCUCUCGAUCUUCCAAGAUAUUGCUACCUUCGACCAGUAUCUUGAGUUACUAUUCUGUCUUAAAUUGAAGCUCCUACAAUAAAACAGUUUCUUUCUUCUA